rnacentral:rRNA from 1 species
GAUGAACGCUGGCGGCGUGCCUAAUACAUGCAAGUCGAGCGAACAGACGAGGAGCUUGCUCCUUCGACGUUAGCGGCGGACGGGUGAGUAACACGUAGGUAACCUACCUAUAAGACUGGGAUAACUUCGGGAAACCGGAGCUAAUACCGGAUAAUAUUUCGAACCGCAUGGUUCGAUAGUGAAAGAUGGCUUUGCUAUCACUUAUAGAUGGACCUGCGCCGUAUUAGCUAGUUGGUAAGGUAACGGCUUACCAAGGCAACGAUACGUAGCCGACCUGAGAGGGUGAUCGGCCACACUGGAACUGAGACACGGUCCAGACUCCUACGGGAGGCAGCAGUAGGGAAUCUUCCGCAAUGGGCGAAAGCCUGACGGAGCAACGCCGCGUGAGUGAUGAAGGUCUUCGGAUCGUAAAACUCUUUUAUUAGGGAAGAACAAACGUGUAAGUAACUGUGCACGUCUUGACGGUACCUAAUCAGAAAGCCACGGCUAACUACGUG